rnacentral:lncRNA from 1 species
CUCAGUUAAUGUACUGAGAGAGCCACUUGAAACCAUCACCGUAUCCCAUUUUGCGUACGAUACUGCACAUAAACACCUCUAGGGGGCGUACAUUUGUGUCAGCUAGGUUUACCUUCCCCUUGCCGGUGGUGAAGUUUGUUAGGCCAAGGUGGUAUCGCAACUCAUCCUCUGAAGCAGCAUAAGGUAUGUCAAUUUUGUUCCCCAAGAUGAGAAAUGGAACAUUGGCAAGAGCUUCAUCCGAAAGCAGAGCAUCCAAUUCCUUUUUUGAUUCAGCAAACCUCUCUUUGUCAUAGGCAUCAACCAAGUACACCACAGCAUCCACCUUUAUCACAAAAAACCACAUUAUAUUGCCAGUCCAUGUUGGAAACGAUUAUUUGCAGGAUGCAAGUCUAAACAUUUAUUGUCAACUACACUCUACAAUACAAACACAAAAGAUUAACAGACCGAUUCAACAUAGAAAACAUCAGAAAUAUAGAGAAAGCGGAUUCAGUAAGUAACUUCAAAUUAAUUACAAAAGCUGUCCUAGAAUACUCUGGAAAAAGAAAGGCAAUUGCAACAAUCACAAUUAUAAGUCCUGACCAGUGUUUCCACAACACUAUAAGGAUAAGUGUGUAGCAUAAUUGUUAAUUUUCCAGCCUCAGAAAAACAAAUAGUAAAGGAAUAUAGUUAAUUAAAAAGAAUGCGAAGGCGGGGAAGAAGCAUAAAACAUUAAAGCAUUCUGCUUUGAGUGAUAGGUUAAAUUGGUGGAGGAUUGCUUGUUCAAGCGUAUGCUCCACAGCAAUAUUCAAUUCCAUUAAAUUACUAACUUUUAUCCAGUCACAGCAUUAAUUAUAGACGGUAUAAUGGACAUGCAAUCAACAAGAGGUGGAAGAUAGCAGCAAAUCAACAUAAUCUCAAUCCCGAGUCAAUUCAAAAAUUCAAAUUGUACUUGCCUCUAGCUGAACCAUACUGUAAAGAGUGUUACUUUAGUACAACCAUGCACAUAGUUACAAAAGCCAUCAUGGACUACAAUGCUCAAGCUGACGGACUCGAAGUGCAUACAUAAAUUGAUAGUGAUACCAGCAGAAAUUGAAAAGCAAAAGAAACUAUGCCUGAAGUAAUGAAUAAAUAUUCAAGAUAUGAUGCACUGAAGAGAUGUGGUCAAAAAAGGAGUAAUAAAGAAUGGAAUUUCUCAAGUAUAGAUGUAAACCAAACACACAGCAAAAGAUCAGAUAAACGAGAAUAAACAUACUAGUAAGCCCUGCCCUCAUCAUCUCAAGCAUAAGUAGAAAUUAUGCUUUGGUUCUGUCAAAGCAUGUCGACUUAACUCAGAAUCAACAAGAACAUACAUUAGUAAGCCUGCCCUCAUCAUUUCAGGCAAUAGUAGAAAUUAUGCCUUGGUUCUGUCAAAGCAUGUCGACUUAACUCGCUGGUCAGUGGUUAAGUCAGGUGACAGAGGAUUACAUACUUAAACAAGAUUUGAAUGGCUGAAGGAACUUCCGUAGACUCAGUGCACAAGAUAUAUAGAGCCAAUGCUGGCUAACUUAUUAUCAAUAACUUACCUUGGCGUAGUAAUCUUUCCAAACUCUGCGAGCAAUCUGAUGACCUCCCAAGUCAAAUGCCUUAAACUUAAUUUUCCCAAUACUUAGUUCUUCAGAUGUGGGAUACUGGGUAGGUUGAUGCUGAACCAAUCUCUAUGAUCAGAAUGAAAAAUACCGUUAAGUAAAAUGAUAUGCUGGAUGUCAAAAAAGAAGAGGCUAUAAAAUCAUCUACGCAUACAUACACACAUUUGUACGAAACUUUCAAAUUUCGACUCAACUAUGCCAAAAGCCGCUUGCUAAUCAAUUAAAUUCCAAAAUUAUAAACUAGCCUAUUAAUCGAAUUAAACAAUUAUGUUUAUCUAAUAAAUUAAAACCUACUUCCAAAAGUGAGAAAUAUGUGGGAGUGUUUGGCUAAAUUUUCAAAAAUUUUGAGUAAAAAAAUGACCGAUUAACUGGAAAACCCUGAGUUCGUAAGUCUCAGCAAGCCAAUAGCAAUAAGAGAUCUCAAACUUUCCUUCCGUUACCUAAUUCGAAAUGUAAAAUCGAAUACAGUAAUCAAUCAACUAAAUUAUACAACCAACAAAGGCGAAAUCAACAAACAAUCGAACCUCAUCUUUCAACAUGUGAAGCAAGGUGGUUUUUCCGGCAUUAUCGAGACCUAAAAACAAGAUCUUGGCCUCUUUCUGCCACAAACCGAGAGAGGCGAGGACGCCAUAGAACCAAUCCAGGAGAAACAUGGCUUCUGUAGUGUAGAUAGUGAUGAGAAUAUCAGAUCCCUGAAUGGAGAGCUCGAAUAUGUGAUUAUCCUUCGAAGUCCGGGCACG